GACGAACGCUGGCGGCGUGCCUAAUACAUGCAAGUCGAGCGGACGGAUGGGAGCUUGCUCCCAGACCGUCAGCGGCGGACGGGUGAGUAACACGUGGGCAACCUGCCUGUAAGACUGGGAUAACUCCGGGAAACCGGGGCUAAUACCGGAUAACUCUUUCCCUCACAUGAGGGAAAGCUGAAAGAUGGCAUCUCGCUAUCACUUACAGAUGGGCCCGCGGCGCAUUAGCUAGUUGGUGAGGUAACGGCUCACCAAGGCGACGAUGCGUAGCCGACCUGAGAGGGUGAUCGGCCACACGGGGACUGAGACACGGCCCAGACUCCUACGGGAGGCAGCAGUAGGGAAUCUUCCGCAAUGGACGAAAGUCUGACGGAGCAACGCCGCGUGAGUGAUGAAGGUUUUCGGAUCGUAAAACUCUGUUGUCAGGGAAGAACAAGUACCGGAGUAACUGCCGGUACCUUGACGGUACCUGACCAGAAAGCCACGGCUAACUACGUG
rnacentral:rRNA from 1 species